rnacentral:rRNA from 1 species
CCUGAUCCAGCCAUGCCGCGUGCAGGAUGAAGGCCUUCGGGUUGUAAACUGCUUUUGUACGGAACGAAACGGUCCUUUCUAAUAAAGGGGGCUAAUGACGGUACCGUAAGAAUAAGCACCGGCUAACUACGUGCCAGCAGCCGCGGUAAUACGUAGGGUGCGAGCGUUAAUCGGAAUUACUGGGCGUAAAGCGUGCGCAGGCGGUUAUGUAAGACAGUUGUGGAAUCCCCGGGCUCAACCUGGGAACUGCAUCUGUGACUGCAUAGCUAGAGUACGGUAGAGGGGGAUGGAAUUCCGCGUGUAGCAGUGAAAUGCGUAGAUAUGCGGAGGAACACCGAUGGCGAAGGCAAUCCCCUGGACCUGUACUGACGCUCAUGCACGAAAGCGUGGGGAGCAAACAGGAUUAGAUACCCUGGUAGUCCACGCCCUAAACGAUGUCAACUGGUUGUUGGGUCUUCACUGACUCAGUAACGAAGCUAACGCGUGAAGUUGACCGCCUGGGGAGUACGGCCGCAAGGUUGAAACUCAAAUGAAUUGACGG